rnacentral:rRNA from 1 species
AACGAACGCUGGCGGCGUGCCUAACACAUGCAAGUCGUGCGAGAAAGUUCCUUCGGGAGCGAGUAAAGCGGCGCACGGGUGAGUAACACGUAGGUAACCUGCCCCCCAGUCUGGAACAACUAGAGGAAACUCUAGCUAAUGCCGGAUGAGACCACAAUCCCUUCGGGGGGUUGCGGCCAAAGAUGGCCUCUACUUGUAAGCUAUCGCUGAGGGAUGGGCCUGCGGGCCAUUAGCUUGUUGGUGAGGUAACGGCUCACCAAGGCUGUGAUGGCUAGCUGGUCUGAGAGGACGGCCAGUCACACUGGGACUGAGACACGGCCCAGACUCCUACGGGAGGCAGCAGUAGGGAAUUUUGCACAAUGGACGAAAGUCUGAUGCAGCGACGCCGCGUGGGUGAUGAAGGCCU